AUGCUCACUUUGACAGCAUUUAUACUAAAAUUGGAACAAUACAGAGAUUAACAUGCCCCUGUGCAAGGAUGUUAUGCAAAUUCAUGAAGCGUUCUAUAUUUUU
ensembl:snRNA U6 U6 spliceosomal RNA